AAAAACUUAGUUAAAAAAUAACAUUAGUUUGUCAGACUAAAAUUAUUAAAUAUAAUAGUUUUUU
rnacentral:tRNA from 1 species